CAAUGGUUAGUUUUUAAUCCAUUUUAAGUGCAUUUAAUGCUCAUUUAAUGUGAUCUAACGGCUCUAUUUCAGCUCAUAUUACUCUCCACCAUUUCUUGAAGUUAUAAAAGGAACUAAAAGGUGGGAAUCAACAAGAAGAAAGAUUUUUGAAAAGAGGUUCUUCAAGCAUUCAAUUCAAUCCUAAGGAAAGAGCCUUCUUGAAGUUGAAGAAGCUUUUAAUUCAAAUUCACCAACUCCUCAAGAGCUCAUUGAAGUCUCCAACCACCU
rnacentral:lncRNA from 1 species